rnacentral:tRNA from 1 species
GCCCCUUUAGCUCAGUUGGAAGAGCAGCGGACUUUUAAUCCGUUGGUCCAGGGUUCGAGCCCCUGAGGGGGCACCA